CCCUAUUUCGAGAUCGUCAAGCCGACCAUUGUCCGCGGAUUCGACUACACGGCGCUGCACUGGGCCGACACGACCAAGCCGUCCCCGGAGGUGGCGGACGAAACCGAUCCCUUUCCAGAGAGAGUCUUCGAGACGUCGGAAGCACCGCUCGCGCCUGUUGCGCCGUUUGAGCAGGAUUCGCCGAAACGCGAACCGGCGCGCGAACUCGCGGCCUGAGCCGGAAUCCGAUCUCGAGCGCUCUGGCUAGUCGUCAUUCCGGGGCGCGAGGAUUCGCG
rnacentral:misc_RNA from 1 species